ensembl:lncRNA
UUAGCAUUUCAUUCCACUUUAUUUUAUUACUUGUGCACUGUGACAAUAAAUAUUGUUCAUUCAGUCGUAGCAGCAGCAGCAAGCCAGAGGAACCAGAGGCCAUGUUGGACCUGAUUCUUGAGAGUCAGGGUCAGAGACUGGAGGACCAGAGAGCCAGCUUCAACCUGUUACCUGACCCAGGGUCAGCCUCUCUCUGUGGAGCCUGCAGCCCCCCCUUAACUUCACCCAGUGUGGGCUUCUACUACAUGCUAAUACACUACCAGUCUAACAGGAUGGAGGACCAGAGGUGUUCCCUUCCAGAUCUGGAUGAAGCUGCUGGUGAAGGUCAGCAGGACUUCUUUGGGUUGAUUCAGAGAGUUCAGUCCAGGAGGAUGGACGAACAGAGAGCCUCUCUGCUGCCGACACAUACUGACGACGACCAUGACGUCAUUAACGCAGGCCCCUCCCCCAAUCCCCCAAAUCAUCAGUGAUGAGUACCAGAGUCUUAUAGGGUUCUUCAGAACCACUCUUCUAGAGCUCCACAAAGACUAGAAUUAUCCUGAUGUUAAGACGGUUGGGACGGAUCCAGGUUCAGGUCUUUAGGAUCCAGAUGUGUUGACGACUGAUAUUAGAUUACAGACCAGAUGAAUGUGCUUCUCUGAGUAGUUAGUGGUUGGUAGAGCUGGUUAUUAGAGCUGUGGAUGAAUGUUUCUCUUUGUUAACAAAAGAGGUAAAGAAGAAGAAUGUUAUCUGAUAAAUAUGGACGUAACAAAACAAUCUAAGAUAUUUAAUGAUCAUCUUUACUAAUACAUAAGGAAACUUGUUUAAACUGGUUUGUUUUAUUAUGGGAAUGAUGGGAACAUAGUCCUUCAAAAAAACUUUUAAGAUUUAUCUCAGUUUUCCCUUUUUAGGAAUUCAGACAUAGGAUUCAGGUACAGACCAGGACCAAGUCCUGAACUGGCCCCAAAUCUAAUCAAAGUUCCUGAACCAAGUCCAGACCAGGUCUUGGCCCUGUGUUCUCAACCUAAAACUUCUGUCCUGUAAAGUCAAUAAAUCACAGUUGGAAAUUUUAAACUGUAAGACUCAUUGUAG